GCGGGCGUGGUGGAAUUAGUAGACACGGGAGACUUAGGGCCUGAUGCCGCGAGGUUUGGGAGUUCGAGUCUCCCCGCCCGCACAA
rnacentral:tRNA from 1 species